rnacentral:rRNA from 1 species
AAGAGAGGCAGCCGUCGAAGGUGGGGUUGAUGAUUGGGGUGAAGUCGUAACAAGGUAGCCGUAUCGGAAGGUGCGGCUGGAUCACCUCCUUU